rnacentral:rRNA from 2 species
AAACUUUACUGACUUCUUCGGAAAGAUUUAAAGCGGAUUAGUGGCGGACGGGUGAGUAACACGUGAGUAACCUGCCUUACACAAGGGGAUAGCCGUUGGAAACGACGAAUAAUACCCUAUGAAACUAUCACUUCGCAUGAAGCGAUAGUCAAAGUGUUAGCGGUGUAAGAUGGACUUGCGUCUGAUUAGCUAGUUGGUGAGAAAAAAGCCCACCAAGGCAACGAUCAGUAGCCGGCUUGAGAGAGUGUACGGCCACAUUGGGACUGAGACACGGCCCAGACUCCUACGGGAGGCAGCAGUGGGGAAUUUUGCACAAUGGGGGAAACCCUGAUGCAGCGACGCCGCGUGAUUUAGAAGGCCUUCGGGUUGUAAAAAUCUUUUGUAUAGGAAGAAAAUGACAGUACUAUACGAAUAAGGUCCGGCUAAUUACGUGCCAGCAGCCGCGGUAAUACGUAAGGACCGAGCGUUGUCCGGAAUCAUUGGGCGUAAAGGGUACGUAGGCGGGUCAUUAAGUUAGAAGUCAAAGGCUAUAGCUCAACUAUAGUAAGCUUCUAAAACUGGAGACCUUGAGUAAUGGAAGGGAAAGUGGAAUUCCUAGUGUAGCGGUGGAAUGCGCAGAUAUUAGGAGGAAUACCGGUGGCGAAGGCGACUUUCUGGCCAUUAACUGACGCUGAGGUACGAAAGCGUGGGUAGCAAACAGG